UACGUAGGUGGCAAGCGUUAUCCGGAAUUAUUGGGCGUAAAGCGCGCGCAGGCGGUUUCUUAAGUCUGAUGUGAAAGCCCACGGCUCAACCGUGGAGGGUCAUUGGAAACUGGGGAACUUGAGUGCAGAAGAGAAAAGCGGAAUUCCACGUGUGGCGGUGAAAUGCGUAGAGAUGUGGAGGAACACCAGUGGCGAAGGCGGCUUUUUGGUCUGUAACUGACGCUGAGGCGCGAAAGCGUGGGGAGCAAACAGG
rnacentral:rRNA from 1 species